rnacentral:rRNA from 1 species
UACGUAGGGGGCUAGCGUUGUCCGGAUUUAUUGGGCGUAAAGAGCGCGUAGGCGGCCGAGUAAGUCCGACGUGAAAUCUGGAGGCUCAACCUCCAGCGGUCGUUGGAAGCUACUCGGCUAGAGACCGGAAGAGGAGAGUGGAAUUCCUGGUGUAGCGGUGAAAUGCGCAGAUAUCAGGAAGAACACCGAUGGCGAAAGCAGCUCUCUGGGACGGUACUGACGCUGAGGCGCGAAAGCGUGGGGAGCGAACAGG